ACAGAGCAGUCAUUAUGUUACAGGGUGGUCUUUAUCUAACAGAGCGACCAUUAUGUUACAGAGCGGUCUUUAUGUUACAGAACAGUCAUUAUCUAACAGAGCGGUCAUUAUCUUACAGAACAGUCAUUAUCUAACUGAACGGUCAUUAUGUUACAGAACCAUUGCUAUGUUACAGAGCAGUCAUUAUGUUACAGAGCGGUCAUUACAGAACCAUCGUUAUGUUACAGCGCAGUCGUUAUGUCAGCGCACGGCCAUUAUGUAACAGAGCGGUCAUUAUGUAACAGAGCAGUCAUUAUCUAACAGAGUGGUCAUUAUCUAACAGAGCAGUCAUUAUGUUACAGAGCGGUCAUUAUCUAACAGAGUGGUCAUUAUGUUACAGAGCGGUCAUUAUGUAACAGAGCGGUCAUUAUGUCACAGAGCAGUCAUUAUGUUACAGAACCAUUGCUAUGUUACAGAGCGGUCAUUACGUUACAGAGCGGUCAUUAUGUUACAGAACCAUCGUUAUGUUACAGCGCAGUCGUUAUGUUACAGAGCGGCCAUUAUGUAACAGAGCGGUCAUUAUGUAACAGAGCGGUCAUUAUCUAACAGAGCGGUCAUUUUCUAACAGAGCGGUCAUUAUCUAACAGAGCGGUCAUUAUGUUACAGAGCAGUCAUUAUGUAACAGAGCGGUCAUUAUGUUACAAAGCAGUCAUUAUGUUACAGAACCGUCAUUAUGUCUCCAUUAGAUGGAAGCGUAAUCGUCAAGUGACAGCGGAAAACAGCUGGUGACUCAAGUCCUCUAAGGCAGGGCAGCAUAUUAUAUUAAAUGUAGUGUAGGAGACUGUAACAUGUAAACUUUACAAAGUGGAGCUUGUGUAUAUCCAGAUUGCUAGACCAUUAAAUAUGAACAAAUAAUCUUUUCUUGCAGCCAUAGUCACAGAGUAGUCCUUAUGACACAGAAACAUAAUUAUGUUACAGAAACGUUAUGUUAUAAUCUGUUCAUUUGGGACGUAUGCUGAACAAGUCCCUGUGAACAAGUCGUUACUAUAGCAAUCUUAAAGGAGAAUAUAUAUAUAUAGUGUUUGAUUAUUCAAUAAACUAUACAGUGGGAAAUUUCAGAUUGAGGAUCACUGAUUAUUCUAUUUGCUCUGCAUGUUAUAAAUUAAAGCUGUUAACACACACAGGGGUAUCGAUCUUCUAUAAAACCACACACAC
ensembl:lncRNA